rnacentral:rRNA from 1 species
UACGAAGGGGGCUAGCGUUGCUCGGAAUCACUGGGCGUAAAGGGCGCGUAGGCGGCGUUUUAAGUCGGGGGUGAAAGCCUGUGGCUCAACCACAGAAUGGCCUUCGAUACUGGGACGCUUGAGUAUGGUAGAGGUUGGUGGAACUGCGAGUGUAGAGGUGAAAUUCGUAGAUAUUCGCAAGAACACCGGUGGCGAAGGCGGCCAACUGGACCAUUACUGACGCUGAGGCGCGAAAGCGUGGGGAGCAAACAG